GUAACAAGGUCUCCGUUGGUGAACCAGCGGAGGGAUCAUUACUGAGUUUACGCUCUACAACCCUUUGUGAACAUACCUAUAACUGUUGCUUCGGCGGGUAGGGUCUCCGUGACCCUCCCGGCCUCCCGCCCCCGGGCGGGUCGGCGCCCGCCGGAGGAUAACCAAACUCUGAUUUAACGACGUUUCUUCUGAGUGGUACAAGCAAAUAAUCAAAACUUUUAACAACGGAUCUCUUGGUUCUGGCAUCGAUGAAGAACGCAGCGAAAUGCGAUAAGUAAUGUGAAUUGCAGAAUUCAGUGAAUCAUCGAAUCUUUGAACGCACAUUGCGCCCGCCAGCAUUCUGGCGGGCAUGCCUGUUCGAGCGUCAUUUCAACCCUCAAGCUCUGCUUGGUGUUGGGGCCCUACAGCUGAUGUAGGCCCUCAAAGGUAGUGGCGGACCCUCCCGGAGCCUCCUUUGCGUAGUAACUUUACGUCUCGCACUGGGAUCCGGAGGGACUCUUGCCGUAAAACCCCCCAAUUUUCCAAAGGUGA
rnacentral:rRNA from 1 species